rnacentral:rRNA from 1 species
CCACACUGGGACUGAGACACGGCCCAGACUCCUACGGGAGGCAGCAGUGGGGAAUUUUGGACAAUGGGCGCAAGCCUGAUCCAGCCAUGCCGCGUGUCUGAAGAAGGCCUUCGGGUUGUAAAGGACUUUUGUCAGGGAAGAAAAGGGCGGGGUUAAUACCCCUGUCUGAUGACGGUACCUGAAGAAUAAGCACCGGCUAACUACGUGCCAGCAGCCGCGGUAAUACGUAGGGUGCGAGCGUUAAUCGGAAUUACUGGGCGUAAAGCGGGCGCAGACGGUUACUUAAGCAGGAUGUGAAAUCCCCGGGCUCAACCUGGGAACUGCGUUCUGAACUGGGUGACUAGAGUGUGUCAGAGGGAGGUAGAAUUCCACGUGUAGCAGUGAAAUGCGUAGAGAUGUGGAGGAAUACCGAUGGCGAAGGCAGCCUCCUGGGAUAACACUGACGUUCAUGCCCGAAAGCGUGGGUAGCAAACAGGAUUAGAUACCCUGGUAGUCCACGCCCUAAACGAUGUCGAUUAGCUGUUGGGCAGCAUGACUGCUUAGUAGCGAAGCUAACGCGUGAAAUCGACCGCCUGGGGAGUACGGUCGCAAGAUUAAAACUCAAAGGAAUUGACGGGGACCCGCACAAGCGGUGGAUGAUGUGGAUUAAUUCGAUGCAACGCGAAGAACCUUACCUGGUCUUGACAUGUACGGAACCCUCCAGAGACGGAGGGGUGCCUUCGGGAGCCGUAACACAGGUGCUGCAUGGCUGUCGUCAGCUCGUGUCGUGAGAUGUUGGGUUAAGUCCCGCAACGAGCGCAACCCUUGUCAUUAGUUGCCAUCAUUAAGUUGGGCACUCUAAUGAGACUGCCGGUGACAAGCCGGAGGAAGGUGGGGAUGACGUCAAGUCCUCAUGGCCCUUAUGACCAGGGCUUCACACGUCAUACAAUGGUCGGUACAGAGGGUAGCCAAGCCGCGAGGUGGAGCCAAUCUCACAAAACCGAUCGUAGUCCGGAUUGCACUCUGCAACUCGAGUGCAUGAAGUCGGAAUCGCUAGUAAUCGCAGGUCAGCAUACUGCGGUGAAUACGUUCCCGGGUCUUGUACACACCGCCCGUCACACCAUGGGAGUGGGGGAUACCAGAAGUAGGUAGGGUAACCGCAAGGAGCCCGCUUACCACGGUAUGCUUCAUGACUGGGGUGAAGUCGUAACAAGGUAGCCGUAGGGGAACCUGCGGCUG